AUUGAACGCUGGCGGCAUGCUUUACACAUGCAAGUCGAACGGUAACAGGCCGCGAGGUGCUGACGAGUGGCGAACGGGUGAGUAAUGCAUCGGAACGUGCCCAGUCGUGGGGGAUAACGCAGCGAAAGCUGCGCUAAUACCGCAUACGAUCUAUGGAUGAAAGCGGGGGACCGUAAGGCCUCGCGCGAUUGGAGCGGCCGAUGUCAGAUUAGGUAGUUGGUGGGGUAAAGGCUCACCAAGCCGACGAUCUGUAGCUGGUCUGAGAGGACGACCGGCCACACUGGGACUGAGACACGGCCCAGACGCCUACGGGAGGCAGCAGUGGGGAAUUUUGGACAAUGGGCGCAAGCCUGAUCCAGCAAUGCCGCGUGCAGGAAGAAGGCCUUCGGGUUGUAAACUGCUUUUGUACGGAACGAAACGGUCCUGGUUAAUACCUGGGGCUAAUGACGGUACCGUAAGAAUAAGCACCGGCUAACUACGUGCCAGCAGCCGCGGUAAGAC
rnacentral:rRNA from 1 species